rfam:Pachysolen tannophilus NRRL Y-2460 unplaced genomic scaffold PACTA_scaffold_3, whole genome shotgun sequence.
GAUGUGGUGGCUCAAUGGUAGAGCUUUCGACUCCAAUUGAAAACUUCUGGCAGUGUCAUCGAAAGGUUGCAGGUUCAAUUCCUGUCCAUGUCA